CUCUUAUCAAGAGUAGGCGGAGGGACUGGCCCGAUGAUGCCACGGCAACCGACACGAUUUUUGUGCACGGUGCCAAUUCCAACAGGUUGCGUAGGCAGCCUGAGAGAUGAGAG
rnacentral:ncRNA from 2 species